GGCCCACCGCUGGACCGCACAGGUUGUAAGAGGAAAAUCAUCCUUGCAUGGGAAGACAAGCCAAAGCCACACAUCACAGAAGGAUUCCGAGUGAUGGAAAAGAAAAUGGAAAAAUGGGAUAGAGUUUAUAUUCGUAAUACCAAAUAGAUCUGAGAGUCAUUUCUCACACAUGCCUCGGAUAUUAGUAUAAAUGCCCUUUUGUAACUAAGAAAAAAAUUUUUUGCCUUGAGUUCAAGACAAUACUUUCUUUUUACUCUUUUGCAAAAAUUAAUUCGUAUCUGUUUCAGUCAGGAUUAUGUUCUGUUACAUAAAAUAGAAAAUCCAAAAGAAAAGAAAAACCUCUGUUGAGAGGUUUAAAGCCAUGUUGGCCGGUCUAUUCUUUCAUGUAAAAGACAUCCGGAAAUGAGCAGUCCGGGGGCGGGGAGGGCAGCUCUACAAAGAGUCCAGAAACCAGGAUAGCUCACAUCUUUUCUGUUUUACCAUUCUUAGCACAUAGCCUCCACCCUCACAUUGCUGCUGGGGUUCUAGCGUCUUGUUUGGGGUCCUGGCGGCAACCAGAAGAGAAAAGGCAAAGAAAAACACACAACAUCCCCGCUGAGGCAGUGGCCCUGAAGCAAGCCCCCUGAAACCCUUCACAAAGGUGAACAAAUUGAGACUUAGAUGAACUGAAGAGUCCAAGGAUAAACACAUAAGUUAAAGGUUCACUCUAUGGACUUGAAUGUAAAGACUCCCUCUGAACCAUCACCCCGAACUGCCUCCAUGUAGAACCCUAAUUCUGGGCCUUGAAAUUUUACCUGUAGAGGAGGAACAUGCGUUAGUCUUAUGUUACAGUUUUCCCCUAUUCUGACUCCAUCUCCUUUUGUUGUUAUUUUUUGCUGCUGUUUUCCUAUCCUUCUUGAAAGUUGAAAACACUACUUUUAAUGAGCAGACAGCAAUUAUACAUAUUUAUAACCUUCUCUUCUAGCUAUUUUAACAUGUAUGACCCCAUAGUUGGAAAGCACACAGGUCUGCCCAUCCCCCCACCCUAGCUCAUUGAAGGACACUGCCAUCCAUCGGUGGGCUACCAGGGACUAUGCUGCACCAUUUGAUUGAUGCUUUCUAACAAAACCCUUUAAAGGGGGCAUACCAAUUACAAUGCUUGUCCCUUUGCCUUUUACAAUGUGCUAUCCACAUGGCAUCUCAUCUGGCAGCCCAUGUGGAAAUGGGGUGCAGAGAGUUAAAGAACAAGUGGAAAGCAGCAAUCAUCAGUAGUGCAGAGGAAGGGCUGACAAUGAGGAUCGCCUAGGUUGUGUUGUUUCCAGUAUUGUUGUGGUUUCUCCUUAAAUCAAUAUAAGGGUACUCAUGGUGUGAUCACAGCAUGACCUGGCUUGGAAGUCUUGCAGGGAAGUUCAGCAGCUUUUAGAAUAAGGAAAUGGAUGGUGAGGGCUUCACUUUGGUUGUGUGUCCCCACCCAGCCUUCCCAUGCCCAUCCCGGCCCUCUCAGAUCUUCCCUUGGCUUUCUUGGAUGUGUGUGCAUUGGGAGCAGAAGAAUAAAGUAAGCGUACCCUCGAGCAGUGUGGAACUUAACCUCACAGAGCAGCGCUGGAGUCAGAACUGUUUGUUUAGCACGUUCAUGGAACCCUUCACCUCCUUCACCCCUACUGUAGCGAUAUCCUUUCCAUUCAAGCCAUGUCAGAGCACCCGACCCUGCAUAAAACACACCCAGACUUGGGCUCUUCUCCACUGCCUGAGAAACAGCCAGCGACUCCUCUCUCAAGGCCCAGCACAAUUGUUGACCUCUAUGGUGUUGGUGAACGCCGUUAGAUCUGGUACCAACUAAUAAAUGUAUCUCUGAGUGAGUCUAUGACUUUAUUUCCUGGAAGGAUUGAUAGAACUUGGAAGGUCUUGUCCAGAAUAAAUCACACCUUUCAACAGCAGCUGAGACAUAACAAGUUCUGAGGGGAAGCCCUUCUGUUUUGCCUGUCCACCAUGGCUCCUUGCAGGUGAGUUGCAAUGACUCUACAGCUUCCACUGCCAAAUCCUCUGCUGAGAGUGGAACACAGAUUCUUCAGCCUCUCAAUGUGAACUGAAGAGCAGUAGUUCUCCAGGAAUUCUUCAGACCUUCAGCACCAGGUUAGGACUGCUGGACUAUCCAGCCUUGUGGACUGAGCUUCCGUGUUCUCAGCCUCUUGGACAUGCAUACUUCCCUUUUGGACUCCCCAUCUGGUAUCAUGUAAGCCAAUUUAGAAAUCUCCUUUUAAUAUAUAUCCUUUCUAUUGGUUCUGUUCUUCUGAAGAACUCUUAACUAGUAUAACUUUUUUGCAAAGGUACCCCAGCUUCUAUCCUUAACAAUGUUUAUUCAACUUUUUGUGACAAACUACUCAAGCAUAAUCAUAUACUUACAUAGUUUUCUUCCUACUACAAGGACUGACUUUGCAAGAACAGCAGUUACUCCACUCAUUGAAUACUAACACCUAGCUUCAUGUACCUAGCAAAUUCGUAGGCUCUAUCCCAAGUGAGUUUUGUUACUGCUUUUCAGCUAAAUGUGUUGUCAAGCACACAGCAUGACAUUUUUCAAACCAAUGUGUAUAGAGUAACACUUGGUCACACCUACUCUGUCAGGUAGGUUGUAU